UUGCCAAAGGAAACUAAAUUGCAGGUAUUUAGUAUUCAACAAAGGACUAACAGACUUGAAAUAUUAAUUGCCCUACUCCAUCUAAACCAGAUUGAUGAGGCAUGUUUUGGGGCACAAUGUGGUUAGAUCAUGAUUGUUAUGCCUUUAUCCCAGCUAGGUUACCUACUUUCUGAUAUUUAAAGUAAAACUUUAUGUUAUUAUUUCUACAUUGUGUUUCUUCAAAUAGAUGGGAAAAGUUCCUCUUUUUGUUAUUAUUUUUUUUUAUUAUGCAAUUUGUCGUCCAUUUUUAAAUUUGCUUUUCUAAGCGUCAGAAUAUUGACUAUAAGCUCCAUGCUG
rnacentral:misc_RNA from 1 species